rnacentral:rRNA from 1 species
UACGAAGGGGGCUAGCGUUGCUCGGAAUCACUGGGCGUAAAGGGUGCGUAGGCGGGUCUUUAAGUCAGGGGUGAAAUCCUGGAGCUCAACUCCAGAACUGCCUUUGAUACUGGGGAUCUCGAGUCCGGAAGAGGUGAGUGGAACUCCGAGUGUAGAGGUGAAAUUCGUAGAUAUUCGGAAGAACACCAGUGGCGAAGGCGGCUCACUGGUCCGGUACUGACGCUGAGGUGCGAAAGCGUGGGGAGCGAACAGG